rnacentral:rRNA from 1 species
CCUACGGGUGGCAGCAGUGAGGAAUAUUGGGCAAUGGGCGCGAGCCUGAACCAGCCAAGUAGCGUGAAGGAUGACUGCCCUACGGGUUGUAACCUUCUUUUAUAAAGGAAUAAAGUGAGGCACGUGUGCCUUUUUGUAUUUACUUUAUUAUUAAGAAUCGGCUAACUCCGUUCCAUCAGCCGCGGUAAGACGGAGGAUCCGAGCGUUAUCCGGAUUUAGUGGGUUGAAAGGGAGCGUAGAUGGGUUGUUAAGACAGCUGUGAAAGUUUGCGGCUCAACCGUAAAAUUGCAAUUGAUACUGGCAGUCUUGAGUACAGUUGAGGUAGGCGGAAUUCGUGGUGUAGCGGUGAAAUGCUUAGAUAUCACGAAGAACUCCGAUUGCGAAGGCAGCUUACUAAACUGCAACUGACAUUGAUGCUCGAAAGUGUGGGUAUCAAACAGGAUUAGAUACCCGAGUAGUC